UCCACUUCCGUUCUGUGGACACAGGUGGCUCGAAAAUCUACCAGUCGUGGAGAGAGCUUUGGAAUUCUGGCCAUCAGUGACCAUGUACAUGGAUGCAGUCAGGAAAAAGAAGCUACCAAAUCCGGGAACAGCAUCGUAUGACACUCUUGAAGUUGCUGAAAAAGACCCUCUUAUUCUGGCGAAGCUACAUUUCUACAUGGCUAUCACAAGGACCUUCAGUCCUUUUCUUACCUUCUAUCAAACGGAUGUACCAGUGAUUCCGUUCCUUGCCAAAGACUUGGCUGAGCUGAUGAAGAGGUACUCAAGGAUAUCGGUUCACUGCAGCUGGUCAGGCUGGAUGUCAGUGACAAACAGAGCUGGGUCAACCUAAAGGAAGUAAACAUGGGAUUGGGUGCAGAAUCACUCCUUAAGGUGAUGUUAUAAUCCAGCAAUUCAAUGAUUUUUUAUCUGUUGAAAAUGAGAGCUUAUUCUCAUACAAACCAACAGAAACCAGGCUAGACAUAUUCCUGCAUGGAGUUCUUGGGCAGUGCCAUGAGUUAUGGAGCUUUUGCAAGAAACUGCUUCUCCUGUCCCAUGGGCAGGCAACAGUGGAGAGAGGAUUCUCCAUUAAUAAAGAAGUGGAGACCUGCAAUAUGCAGGAGGAGACAAUGGUCAGUCAUCGACUAAUAUGUGAUGUCAGCAUCUGUGGGGGGCUCCUCAA